AUGAAUCAGUUGAGUCUAUUGCAUAAAUCUAUGGCGCUCACGAAUGAUCAGGGCCUUACUGUGGGCUUGUCCAUCUUGGUUCCAGCGACACCUGUUGUCGCAUUUACUUCUAUUCUAGAGGCUAGGAUUCUUGUUGUGGUAACUGUCCCAGAGGUUUUUGAAACUAGUGUCUUGGUUCCAACUCCUAAAAUAGGUCAUCCGGUUACUACCACAACUGGUUUAUCUGCUCGGGGACCUUCACCUUCUUCUUACCCUACCAAGAGGGGUCAGGGUUAUAGUUUAUCCACUCCUGUUGAAGUAGGUCCUCCCAAACUAGUGAGGAGGAUUGUCUAA